rnacentral:tRNA from 3 species
GCCGGUGUAGCUCAGUUGGUAGAGCAGCUCAUUCGUAAUGAGCGGGUCGCAGGUUCAACUCCUGUCACCGGCU